AUGUUCCUUAGAGUUCCUCUAAACACUUCAUUAGAAUGUCUUCUUUUAGAUUUCCUAUUGAAAUGUUUGGAGGAACUCCAAGAGGCGC
rnacentral:pre_miRNA from 1 species